GAACGUCUACUUCCGUCGACAUCCCAUCGAACCCGAACCGUCCGGAGAUGCAUGCUUCGAAGGUAUAACCCCAAGACGACCGCCCGUGAAUGAAUGUAUGUGUUGUAUCAGAUGCAUGUUUGGAUGUUGUAUCCUCCCGCGAAUGUUAGUUGUUUCCCUCGCUUGGCACCGUCGUCGACCCGUGGGAACCCGGUAUCCGGGAUCACCCCACCAUCCUGGCAUGACAUGCUCCUGCCACUUUUCCUUUUGCACCGGUAUCUCCAUGAGCUACCGGAACUGAUAUGUUGUCGUGGCAUCAUUUUCGGAUUCGUUGCCGUGGCACCGUUUCUGUUUUCGCCGCCAUGACACCCUUUUCUUUCCGUCGUGGCGACCAAAUGCCCCAUAUCAUCAUCAUGUCAACUUUUUCAUAAAAUUUGCAUAAACUUGCACAUGUCAUCUGCAUCAUGAUAACAACAUUUUAAAAUGGGUAAACUUGUUGUUUGCAUUAAUUUGCUAAAGGCAUAUGGGGGUUUAUCGGAUUUGUUGUCUGUUAUAUCCGGCCCCAUUUAAGCUGUUUAGAUAGUAUAGUUUUCUUAUACUUCAACCUCUUGCCAUGUUAACCAACAUUUAAUAUUGUUGGGUACAUAACCAAGAUCGAACUAAAUAAGUCAUGUGGAGUUUCGUCAAUAUGCAACUCGUUGCAUAUUGAGCUCCACUUAAUUUGUAGGGUUGUUUGUGUGCUUUGCCAUGCCAUGCCUGAUUAAACCGGACAUGCAUCAUACUUGCUUGUGCAUCAUGCCAUGUUUAUGUGAUGGUUGUUUACCAUGUUGUUUGCUUCUUUCCGGGUUGCUUCUCGCGUUAGCUUCGGUUUCAUUCCAUAGUUGUGAGGAUUCGUUCGACUACGUCCGUUUGUCUUCUUCAUGGACUCAUUCUUCUUCCUUGCAGGAUCUCAGGCAAGAUGACAAAACCCUCCAAAUCGCUUCUAUCUUUGCUUGCUAGUUGCCCGCUCUUUUGCUAUGCCGCGAUACCUACCACUUGUUAUAUGCCAUGCCAUCUUUAUAGAGUUGCUUACCAUGUAUUUUUGUGAUAUGUGUGGUGACUAGCACAAGCUUGCAAAGUAGUGCAUUCGUUAAUGCUGAUUUCAGGGACUUAAAAUUUCUCCAAGUCCUUGAUCUGAGUUUAUCAAUAUUCCAUAUAUUCAUGUUGUUUCCUAGUGAUCCGUGCCUCUUUGGAGGAUGAUCAGUAAGGAUGAUUUGUUAACAUUGUGGUGCUCUAUCCAUCCAUGUCUUUGUUUGCAAUUAUGGAGCACCCUAGCUUGAGUCAAUCGAGCUCUCCUUUUGCUAUUUCGUGAAUCCUGGCAGAUUGUUUACUUGUUAGCGAUUUUGCCGAGGAUGUUGUUGUUGAUCUGUGCAUGCUAUGUUGUUGUUCUUGCCAUGUCUAGCUUAUAUAAUAUGUAUUCUUGAUGGGUGUAUGUUUAGAUUGUCAUGACUUGCUCUGUAGUGAGUGCAUCGAGCUCGUAAACAUGCCUACUCGUUAACAUAUUUGCAUGCUCCAGUUUUUCUCUAAGUCUGUAACCUGAUUAUGUUUUUGCCAUGUUCUCAUGCUUGCAAUUGUAUUUUCUGAUCCCUUUUGGCUCAAGGUCACUAAGGGACUUUUGUUAAGUGCUUUGAGUAGCUUCAUGUCAUGCCUUGGUUUGCCAUGUUAAGUUCCUGUAGCAUAUAGUUUUCAUGCUCCAAAGUGUGCUACCUGAUCUGAAAUUCCAGACUUGUGUUAAUUUCACUAAGUCAACCUGUUUAUCAAUUGCACUUUUGCCAUGCUUGUUUGAACCUGUUAAUGGAUGAAUUGGCCGUAGCUCAGUGUUCAUAUUUUGUCAAGAUUCAUGAGUGGAUCCCUACCAUGUAUUUUGUUGUCAUGUUUGAGUGCUGUAGCAUGUUUAUCUUGAUGCAUUUAGAUGGCUACUUGUUGUUUAUCACAGACCGGUGCCAUAUUUGUUUUGCUUGCCAUUUCCAAACCGUGCAUCCAAUUCCGGUGUUCUUUAUAUAGAUUUCAACCGAAAUCACCUUAACUUUCCAGUGGCACUCUUGGAUUUCCAUGUUUAGGCCAGGUUCAAUCAUUCCUUGUCAAAUCUUGCAUACGCAUCACAUAUCGUAUCCCGCAUAGCAUACCAUGUUUGCAUCAUGUUUGUUUGAGUUUUGCACAUGGUUGAUUGUGUUCCUUUUGCUUGUUUGUCUUGUUUGGGUAGAGCCGGGAGACGAGUUCCCUAACUUGGAUCCCGUUGAGUUUGCUUACGAGGAUCAAGUCAACUCUGACAACUUUGCAGGCAAGAUGAUCAUACCCUCGAAAUCAAUUCUAUCUUUGCUUGCUAGAUGCUCGCUCUUUUGCUAUGCCUAUGCUACGAUGCCUGCCACUUGCUUAUCAUGCCUCCCAAAUUGCCAUGUCAAACCUCUAACCCCCCAUGUCCUAGCAAACCGUUGAUUGGCUAAGUUACCGCUUUGCUCAGCCCCUCUUAUAGCGUUGCUAGUUGCAGGUGAAGAUUGGAGACCGUUCCUUGUUGGAACAUUGUUUAUUUGUUGGGAUAUCACUAUAUUAUCUUGUUAUUUUAAUGCAUCUAUAUACUUGGUAAAGGGUGGAAGGCUCGGCCUUUUGCCUAGUGUUUUGUUCCACUCUUGCCGCCCUAGUUUCUGUCAUAUCGGUGUUAUGUUCCUAGAUUUUGCGUUCCUUACGGGGUUGGGUGAUAAUGGGAACCCCUUGACAGUUCGCCUUGAAUAAAACUCCUCCAGCAAUGCCCAACCUUGGUUUUACCAUUUGCCACCUAGCCUCCUUUUCCCUUGGGUUUCCGGAGCCCGAGGGUCAUCUUAUUUAAACCCCCCCUGGGCCAGUGCUCCUCUGAGUGUUGGUCCGAACUGGGCAGCCUGCGGGGCCACCUCGGGGAAACUCGAGGGUUGGUUUUACUCGUAGCUUGACCUAUCUGAGUGUGCCAUGAGAACGAGAUAUGUGCAUCUCCUAUCGGGAUUUGUCGACACAUUCGGACGGUGUUGCUGGACUUGUUUUACCAUUGUCGAAGUUGUCUUGUAGAAACGGGAUACCGAGUCUGAUCGGAAUGUCUCGGGAGAAGGUUUAUCCUUCGUUGACCGUGAGAGCUUGUGAUGGGCUAAGUUGGGACUCCCCUGCAGGGAUUUGAACUUUCGAAAGCCGUGCCCGCGGUUAUGGGCAGAUGGGAAUUUGUUAAUGUCCGAUUGUAGAUAACAUGAACCUUAACUUAAUUAAAAUGAAUCAACUGCGUGUGUUACCGUAAUGGUCUCUUCUCUGGGGAGUCCGGGAAGUGAACACGGUGUUGGAGUAAUGUUUGCCAUAGGUUGUUCUCUAGUUCUUCGUUCGUGCUUUGCCUUCUCUUCUCGCUCUCUUUUGCGAAUAGGUUAGCCACCAUAUAUGCUAGUCGCUUGCUGCAGCUCCACAUAUUACCUUGCCUUACCUAUAAGCUUAAAUAGUCUUGAUCGUGAGGGUGCGAGAUUGCUGAGUCCCCGUGGCUCACAGAUUACUUCCAAACCAGAUGCAGGGCCCGAUGACUCCGUUCUAGAUGAUGCGCUUGAGCUCAAGUGGGAGUUCGACAAAGACUUACGCCGUUACUAUGUGUCUUUCCCUGAUGAUCAUUAGUGGUGCCCAGUUGGGGCGAUUGGGACCAAGUCGCUUGUUGGGGUUGAUCUUUUAUUUUGGUACCGUAGUCGGACCAUGAGUGUAUUGGAUGAUUGUAAUGUUAUUCAUGUACUUUGUGUGACGUGGCGAGUGUAAGCCAACUAUGUACCUUUCCCCUUAUUAUCUAUUUACAUGGGUUGUUGUGAAGAUUACCUUACUUGCGACAUUGCUUGAACGUAAGUAGUUUCAGGAUCACUUCUUGAUCACUUCUAGUUCACGACCAUGCUUUGCUUCUCUUCUCGCUCUUAUUUGCGUAUGUUAGCCACCAUAUAUGCUAGUGCUUGCUGCAGCUCCACCUCACUACCUUUUCCUACCCAUAAUCUUAAAUAGUAUUGAUCUUGCGGGUGUGAGAUUGUUGAGUCCUCGUGGCUCACAGUUACUUCCAAACAAUUGCAGGUGCCGAUGAUACCAGUGCAGAUGAUGCAACUGUGCUCAGAUGGAAGCUCGAUGAAGAUAUUGUUCAUUGUGUUGUUUCGUUCCCAGUUGAUCAGUAAUGGGGCCCAGUCGUUGCGAUCGGGGAUAUUUUGCAUUAGUGGUUGUCUUCCUUAUUUUGGUUCCGUAGUCGGACCUUGAUUGUAUUCGGGAUAAUGUAAUGCUAUAGUUAUGUAUUGUGUGAAGUGGCGGUUGUAAGCCAACUCUUUAUCCCAUUCUUAUUUAGUACAUGAGAUGUGUAAAG
rnacentral:lncRNA from 1 species